rnacentral:rRNA from 1 species
GACGAACGCUGGCGGCGUGCUUAACACAUGCAAGUCGAACGGAAAGGCCCUGCUUUUGUGGGGUGCUCGAGUGGCGAACGGGUGAGUAACACGUGAGUAACCUGCCCUUGACUUUGGGAUAACUUCAGGAAACUGGGGCUAAUACCGGAUAGGAGCUCCUGCUGCAUGGUGGGGGUUGGAAAGUUUCGGCGGUUGGGGAUGGACUCGCGGCUUAUCAGCUUGUUGGUGGGGUAGUGGCUUACCAAGGCUUUGACGGGUAGCCGGCAUGAGAGGGUGACCGGCCACAAUGGGACUGAGAUACGGCCCAGACUCCUACGGGAGGCAGCAGGGGGGAAUAUUGCACAAUGGGCGGAAGCCUGAUGCAGCAACGCCGCGUGCGGGAUGAAGGCCUUCGGGUUGUAAACCGAUUUCGCCUGUGACGAAGCGUGAGUGACGGUAAUGGGUAAAGAAGCACCGGCUAACUACGUG